rnacentral:rRNA from 1 species
ACGGCUCAGUAACACGUGGUCAAUCUACCCUCAGGACGGAGAUAACCUCGGGAAACUGAGGCUAAUAUCCGAUAGAUAAUGGAUCCUGGAAUGGUUCAUUAUUCAAACGGCACAUUGCUCAUGCGCAGUGUGUCGCCUGAGGAUGAGACUGCACCCUAUCAGGUAGUUGGUGGGGUAAUGGCCCACCAAGCCUAUAACGGGUACGGGCCCUGAGGGGGGGAGCCCGGAGAUGGGCACUGAGACAAGGGCCCAGGCCCUACGGGGCGCAGCAGGCGCGAAACCUCUGCAAUGCGCGAAAGCGCGACAGGGCCACCCCGAGUGCUAGCCGCUGAGGUUAGCUUUUCCUUAGUGUAGUAAGCUAAGGGAAUAAGCGGGGGGCAAGCCUGGUGUCAGCCGCCGCGGUAAUACCAGCUCCGCGAGUGGUCGGGACGAUUAUUGGGCCUAAAGCGUCCGUAGCCGGCCUAUCAAGUCUCUGGUUAAACCUCAAGGCUCAACCUUGAGAUCGCUGGAGAUACUGUUAGGCUAGGGGGCGGGAGAGGUUGAGGGUACUUCGCGGGUAGGGGCGAAAUCCUAUAAUCCGCGAAGGACCACCAGUGGCGAAGGCGCUCAACUGGAACGCGCCCGACGGUGAGGGACGAAAGCCAGGGGAGCAAAGGGGAUUAGAUACCCCCGUAGUCCUGGCUGUAAACGAUGCGGGCUAGGUGUUGGGUUGGCUUCGUGCCAACCCGGUGCUGCAGUGAAGACGAUAAGCCCGCCGCCUGGGAAGUACGGCUGCAAGGCUGAAACUUAAAGGAAUUGGCGGGGGAGCAC